rnacentral:rRNA from 1 species
UACGGGGGGAGCAAGCGUUGUUCGGAUUUACUGGGCGUAAAGGGCGCGUAGGCGGCGUGACAAGUCACUUGUGAAAUCUCCGGGCUUAACUCGGAACGGUCAAGUGAUACUGUCGUGCUAGAGUACAGAAGGGGCAACUGGAAUUCUCGGUGUAGCGGUGAAAUGCGUAGAUAUCGGGAGGAACAUCUGUGGCGAAGGCGGCCCCCUGGUUGGAUACUGACGCUGAUACGCGAAAGCGUGGGGAGCAAACAGG